rnacentral:rRNA from 1 species
AAUACAUGCAGUCGAGCGGACAGAAGGGAGCUUGCUCCCGGAUGUUAGCGGCGGACGGGUGAGUAACACGUGGGUAACCUGCCUGUAAGACUGGGAUAACUCCGGGAAACCGGAGCUAAUACCGGAUAGUUCCUUGAACCGCAGGGUUCAAGGAUGAAAGACGGUUUCGGCUGUCACUUACAGAUGGACCCGCGGCGCAUUAGCUAGUUGGUGGGGUAAUGGCUCACCAAGGCGACGAUGCGUAGCCGACCUGAGAGGGUGAUCGGCCACACUGGGACUGAGACACGGCCCAGACUCCUACGGGAGGCAGCAGUAGGGAAUCUUCCGCAAUGGACGAAAGUCUGACGGAGCAACGCCGCGUGAGUGAUGAAGGUUUUCGGAUCGUAAAGCUCUGUUGUUAGGGAAGAACAAGUGCGAGAGUAACUGCUCGCACCUUGACGGUACCUAACCAGAAAGCCACGGCUAACUACGUGCCAGCAGCCGGUUUUAAAUAA